GUACAGAGAGUAGCUUCACUAGGUGUACCACGAUGGCUGACACUGUACAUCUUGUGCUGUGUGCCCGCCUGCCAAGCUCCUUCCCUACUACUAUUGGAGACAUGCUGGCAGGCCGGAGAUACAAAGAAGUCGGUGUCCUUCUGCAGGGCGCUCUGCCAGGCACAGAGUCCCUGCACUGUGACAAGACAAAAGAAGAGUGAGAAUGCAGACUAUAAGAUUCUAUGGGAGUGCCAAAACCCAUCCAUCAAUGGCACACAGACUGGCUGAUUCAACCCCACAAAUGCUGCAGAAAACUGCCAAGAAGGCUCAAAAAGAAAAUAUGAUGAAACCAAGAGAAAAUGCCAAGGCAAAGAAUAAUUUUUUGGGGUAGAUAUGUGGUUUGUCAAACAAUUUAAUUGUUCCAUCUUUUGCAGAUCAGGAUGUCCAGCCAAUGAACAUGGAAACACUGCUGCUAGAGGACAUGACAAACACUCUAAAUCAGGAAGUUUCCUUUUUGGACCAUGUUGCCACCCCUGGUCAAGAAAUCAAGGCACAUACGCCACAAAGAAGGUUGGAUUUCACAGAUGUGAACAGCGAGGUGAAGAAAUGCCAGUGUACCUGUGUUGGUUUACUAAAGGAGCUAAUCAGCAAGGUGACCAAUCUGGAGGCAGAACUUGGUGGAUAGGUAAGUCACCUUGGGGGACAAGUCAAUCAGCUGCAGACUGAAAUUGCUGGUCUUAAAGAAGGCAUAAAGGAACAAAUGGUAGAAGCCAUGAAGAAAGCCAUCCAACAAACAAGGCUAGAAUGGCAAGAUAGAGUUGGCCGGACCAUGAUUACAACAAACCACCAAGCUGUUCAUGUCAGUGGAGGCCUGGAUGGAAGCAGAGGCCUGGAUGGAAGCAGAGGCCUAGGUUGGAAGCAGAGGCCUGGAUGGAAGCAGAGGCCUGGAUGGAUGCAGAGGCCUGGAUGGACACAAAGGCCUGGAUGGAAGCGGAGGCCUGGAUGGACACAGAGGCCUGGAUGAACGCAGAGGCCUUGAUGCCUGGAUGGACAUGGGUGGACAUGAAGACCUUGAUCGGCAUCAAGAUAAUUUGAGUGUCCAUACAACACUGCUUCCAGUGCCGAACUUGACAGUUGAAGGUCCAGCAUUGGUCAGCAAUUCAAGAGUGCUGUUGCCAGGAACAGCAAUGAUGACCAGCACACCUGCUCACAGGCCACUUUAUGAUACAUUCGGUGGCACAUAUUCUUUUUUCCAGUACCAUGUAAGCUACAACACGUACUUGACAUGGACCCAUCACGUGAACUUUGAUGGUGCCAAGGGAAAAAUUCUGCUUCCCAAAAAUCUGGUAAAUGACAUCAUGGCAAGGUGUGUGAGGAUUGGUGAACCAGAAAACAAGAAGAUAUACGGGAUACCAUAAAUGCUGUGCUGAGAAUGCCGAGGAGAAUGCCUUAGAAUAUUCAUGUUGGAGAAAAGGGAUCAUUACCCAUCAAUCCUCCUAGCUUCAGCACAUCAUCAUGACACAGCUGGACUUAAAAAUUUGAGUGACUGUAUACAGAGAAUGACCUACAGUAUUGUACUGUACAGUAAAUUUUCUGGGGCUGCCUGCACCAUGCUGAAUCCACUUGGACCAGCACGGUAUCUCAAACAAGGGGGAUGCAUGAACUUGGCUCACCACAUUUCUGAUUGGAGUGUCUGGCCCAGGUAAUAUAAAGGCCUGGUACAAGUUUCCCCUUUUAUUCCCCUGUCACGAGUUGAUUUUUUGUGCUGCCGUAUCUAUCCAGUAGCGGCCGAGUCCAUUGUGCUGUGUCCAUCCAGGGGCUGCUGUUGUCUGUUUCCGUUCUCCGUUCUGGUGUCCGUAUGCAGCAGUGUUCCAAAAUCAAAAGACUAAAACUAAAAAUAAUACAAAAAACAAAACAAAAUGCAUUACCCCCCCCC